GACGGGGGCCCGCACAAGCGGAGGAACAUGUGGUUUAAUUCGAUGAUACGCGAGGAACCUUACCUGGGUUUAAAUGCAGGACGCAAGUCACGUGAAAGCCGAGACCCUCCUUCGGGACGGACUGCAAGGUGCUGCAUGGUUGUCGUCAGCUCGUGCCGUGAGGUGUCGGGUUAAGUCCCAUAACGAGCGCAACCCUCAUCGUUAGUUACCAGCGGAUCAUGCCGGGGACUCUAACGAGACUGCCACCGUAAGGUGAGAGGAAGGUGGGAUGACGUCAAAUCAGCACGGCCCUUAUAUCCAGGGCUACACACGUGUUACAAUGGCCAGUACAAAGGGCAGCUACCUGGUGACAGGAUGCUAAUCUCGAAAACUGGUCUCAGUUCGGAUCGAAGUCUGCAACUCGACUUCGUGAAGUUGGAUUCGCUAGUAAUCGCGCAUCAGCAAUGGCGCGGUGAAUACGUUCCCGGGCCUU
rnacentral:rRNA from 1 species